rnacentral:rRNA from 1 species
UCCCCUAGUGUGAAAAAAAUGGUGGAAGCGGGGGCUACGGUGGAAGAGGACAACCGGAGUAGGGUGUCGAGUCGUCGUCGGGUCGGGGAGGAGGCAGAGGUAAAGAAAACAGGAGAGAGAGAGAGAGAGAGAGAGAGAGAGCCACAAUUUUGCGCCGGCGGCAUGCGCGUAACGGAGGAAGGAAGGCUCGUCAGCGACCGAGCGAAGCUAAGAAGAGGAAGAGAGGAGAACGGCCCCGCAAGAACCUCCCCCUGACAUCGAUCGGAUCGUCACAAGAACCUCGACGACGGCCACCUCCAGACGUUACCCCUCCUCGCCGGUACGGACGAGGCAAGAACCUAGCGACGACGACGACGACGACGACGACGGCCCGGGUCGGCGACGCGUCUUCCCGAGCCGGACCUUCUGCGACUCACCGCUACGAGGUCGUCAGUAUCGAUUCCCACCAAAGAGCCCGGAUAAAGGGCUGAGGUCACUGGGACGAAUAAACAAACGACGGUCGUUAGUCCUAAGUCGGGUCACCACGCUACAAGCCAAUUGGUUCCUACCGCAACCGUAGACGGAAGGUCUGUAUUUUUACCUAUUGACGUGUUGGUAUAGGCUAGAAAAGGGUUUCCCUUUCUUCUGGAUGGCACAGUUGCCACACAGGUACUGCCCCACCAAGAGACACCUGAUAUUGUCGUAACUGGACUGGUUACAUUGAAACGACGCUCGUUAGAACAGAGCAUGUUUAUCCAAACUACCUUCGAAGUGCGAUCAAGUUCAACUUCAACGUGACAGCGUUAUAUUCCGGGGACGAACCAACUUACAAGUCGUACUGUCAAAGAUGUCGGUCAAAUUAGACUCGUACUCUUCGAUAUAGGACAGAUACAGUUUCGUUAUGUGCCAACUGAUGUAGAGUAGGGGACUUCACUCAAAGGAGUUUUCAGAUCAACCUUCUCAACCGUCCUUCUGUUUCGAACACAAGGCAAAAGAACUACUUCCGGAACAGCUCGGUAGAUGUUUAGUCUGUAUACCGAGUUACGACUUUUUAGAUAGUAGGUAGUUCUGAAAACGAAGACCUUAUGAACAAGGGUUUGUGAUAUAGACCGGACAAUGCCGUCUAUUAAUAGACGUUGGGAGAUGAAGUCAGCACCUACUACGAGUAUUCCGUCCGAAUCUUUAAAUACGACGACUAAAACGGUUGCUGAAACGUGAGUCGAUGUUGAUGUCGAUACUAGGCAAUCGUCUUAUAGAAGCGAAGUAGCUGUUACCACGGAAGACACAACUACCAGAGAACUGACUAAAGGGAUAGUGAGGCAAUCUCCGGUAGCCGACGAAGUCAUUGGACUUGUUGUGGUUCCGUCUAGUACCCCGUGGAGAUCAAUAGAGGGUGUUACCACGAUCACCACUGAUGGGACUGACGUGACUGGAUCGAAUAGUUUUCCGUCAACAACUACCACGUCUACAGUAACUGACACUGCAAGUUCACUGUUUUCUACCGUAUGGUUAUACGUACUCAAGGUAACUGGAUUACCUACAGUGAUGACAACGUAGGAGUGUUAAACGAAGAGUUCGCCCACAGUAUUCACUGUAAUUCCGACAACGACCUCAGAUAUGGAAGUUGGAGUGAACCCUCCUGUAACGGUUGUUGGACUUCGGAUACUAUAGUUUGGGUAAACCGGUCUAAUCGGAUAGUUCUUUAGGGUCUUUGUCCUUGCGGCCUUUUAAGUACUCUAAUAGUCUGAAGAACCGAAAACGUUUUCCUCUUCUAAACAGUCCUUAGUACUAAUGACACCUCGUACGAAGUAAGUACCGUCUCUUUGAACCCAAACCACACCAUCUACGUCACUAGUUUCGACAGCUACUAAGGCCAAUGUCGUUUGUCUGGCGGUUCUUUCACUACUAGGUCAGUUGUUUGUCGAGUUGAGACCACUUCAAGUUCGUCGACCGGUUCAUAUUGGAACACAUGUUCUAGCUGCUUCAGCACUUUCUGCGGCGCGGAAGGAGGGAGCGUCUGUAGUUUUUCAAACGCCUACGACAAAGACAGUCGUGGUUCAGGCAAAUGGGUCUCAGCUCGUUAAAGGACUAUUUGGUCUGCUUGGGAGAGCAGUUCAGGGACGUCAGACGACCAGAAGGUCAGAUACACAUAGACGACUCCUUGCUCAAGAAAAGAGUUGGCAUGCUGAAGAAGAGUCUGCGGUGCAGUGUCUAGUUGCGGGAACACGUGUUUCCCCCUCUCCCUCCGCCUCACCUACCUGAGUAGUGGCUAAAGGGGCCCUGCCGAGUGUCUAUGUUUAACUUGAGCACGUCCUUGUACCCCCUGUUCUGCGGGAUGAUGUACGACGGAGGGGUCGCGCCGCCGGAGGAACCCCAGUAUGUCCUAUUUCGUCGUAACGGUGGUCGUUACCGGGGUCUCGGCCACAACUGACAGAGGCUGCACCGCCUCGGCGGGGAAGGAGGACACUCGUUGUGGUGUCGAGGUCGCGGGAGGGUGCGGCGGCAGCUACAGAGGCAGAGCUAGGGCUAGUGACACCGCCACGAUCACGAUACGCGAAGAGACGAAUAGACUCCUGGUGAUUCAGUAAGAAAAUUACGGUGGGCAAGAUAAGAUACAUCGCUCGCUAAGCAAAAAGGAAAACGAAACCCAGAGUAAACCCCACCACCUACAACUCCAAUUUACUACUAAGUACGGACCUACCACCGUGAAUGAAUACAGGGAUCAAUUUUGUUGUAAGACCAUUUAUGGUGAGAUACUAACAAUUUCUCCUCUUCACUACGUAAGUCGAGGGUUCUCAGAUCUCAACGCCAGGGUCUGGUCUAAAACUACACCCUUGAGUCUCUCUCAUGGUCUAGCCUGCCGGCAGUCUAACUGUAGACUGCCGCUCUACGAGAAUAACGCGGAUACCGGCGGCCAACGAACACAGCGGUGCCGGUGUCGGCAAAACCAAACAGAGGUUACUAGGUUAGAGCUUACAGCAGACGGAGAUGCGGGUGCGGGUGCCGGCACCGCGCCGGCCGGCCCUCCAUGCGGCACAUGCAGCGCCGGCACGGCGACUCCCCGGGAGUCCCAGGCCGGGUCCGGGACUACAGAAGCCGGAUGAGCGACCCAGACACCCUGGAAGUCGUGAAGUACCACGAGGAGGCCGGGCUGGGACGGGCUUGGGCUUGGGUCCACGUCCUCGGCCUCGGCAGCAACCACAAGCUAAAGGUCGGAGAGCUGGGCCUCCUACGAGAGCGGCGGAAGAGGCACGAGAGCGCCUCGUUUUAUGGCCCCCACCAAGCCUCCUCUUGCGACGCCGCCUAGGGACUGUCCUCCUCGACCAAGCAGCCGGAGUCGCUGCCGCCGCGGCGGCUGCGGCGGCUCUCCAAGUCGCUCGCUACCGGCUGGCUGGACCAGCAGCCCUUGGUGCUGACGGCUCUGAUGUGGUUGCCCGACCACCUUCAGAACUGUCCUGUUUUUGCGCAGGAGCUGAGCGACUCUAGUCGUCCGGCGGUUACUCCGGCGCGGUAGUACCCUAUAUACUCCUAAGGCUGACGAGUGCGAGUAGACACUUAAGAAGAUUAGGAUCUGGUUCUUUUGCAUGACGGACGUUGAUGAUUACUUUGCGUAGUCGGAAGAGCCUGUUUCCACACCGUAUUUAUUCUUUACGUGAAACUCCUUAAGGAGCCGACCUCGAACUUCGUUUUCAUCUUUUUGAUUAGUUACAUUGGUCCACGACCAACGACUCAUAGACCAUUAAACGACAGUCAUCAAGAAAAUGUGUAUAAUUAAACGAUAGUCAUCAUUAACUUCGUUUUACAAAUGAUUGUUUUACCUCCUUCGUUAUAGGUCAUCGUGAACCUAAUAUAGUAUACCGAAGUCGUUUGUUUGUGUUUAAAGAAGACCUAAGACAAAAGCUUUACACAAGGAUUUACUCUCUGCAAAAACGUCAAAGUUAACUUGACUAAAUUCGACGUUUUUGCCGAAUGUAAAUCUUUGUGUCCCACGUUAAAGAAUAUAAGAAGAGGUAAUCUUCACCGUUGAUAUGUUGUAGUGGGUGCUGUUACUUUCGAGUUCGAAAAACACGUAGAUGGACGACUGGGAUUCUGGGUUACGGAAGGUUUGUUACCGUUCAACCACAGAGUCCUGUACUACUCGUUCACGGUAGCAACCGACAGGUGGUAACCCGAGACCGGGGUGGAAGUCAAAGUUCUUUGUUGAUCAUCGUGACUUUACGACUAACCGCAAACGGCUGAUCAAACCUGUACUACUGUCUCUGUUUUCCUUACAUAGACCCCCGACUGAUAGAGGUAAGAAGAAAGAGAGUUCAGACUGUUGUCCUCCGAAUAGCUCUAGAGCAGUUUAGCCUCCAGUGUUGAGUGGUUGGAUUGUUCUGUUCCACUAGACGACCCUGUAAAGUAGGUACUACCUACCUACCUACCUACACGCCACGGGGAUGGAUGGGACCCUGACGUGGAAUAGUUGUUCCAUCGUUGAGUUCGGGACGCGUCCGUUAGCUAAUCGCAACACGGACGGAUGUUGUCACCUCCGUCUGGGGUCACACAUUAAUCGACCGGUGGGUUUAUGGCUUUGGAUUAGACGUGGCACGAAAAUGAAAGACAGACAUCGGUCGACGUCUUAAGGUCGUAGAAAAGCCAUUAGAAAGUCGACGUGUUAGAUUAAUUCGAUCGCGAUGAAACUGAACACGAACUUAUAUCUAAUUAGUACCAACACGUCAUAAUUAAGUAGGAUUACAUGAAUACACGAGUAAAAAACAAACGAACCUCUUCUGUACGACUGGUAGGUAAAACAAAACAUAUUUAC